rnacentral:piRNA from 1 species
CUCAUGGCCCUCUGUCUCA